rnacentral:piRNA from 1 species
UGUAACUGGAUAAGAGUCCAUUUUAUGCC